rnacentral:tRNA from 1 species
GACCGCGUAGCUCAGUUGGCAGAGCGUUGGGCUGGUAUUCCAAAGGUCGUAGGUUUGAUUCCCACCGUGGCCG